AUCUAUAGCCAUAUCUCCCUGUAGGUGGCUGAUCUUAUCUGAUCUCAGAAACCAAGUAGAGCUGGGCCUGGUUAGUACUUGGAUGAAAUGUCUGCAUGAGUUUGGGACAUGUGGUGGUUAAUUUUA
rfam:Gorilla gorilla gorilla genomic chromosome, chr6, whole genome shotgun sequence